AUUGAACGCUGGCGGCAGGCCUAACACAUGCAAGUCGAACGGUAACAGGAAUCAGCUUGCUGAUUCGCUGACGAGUGGCGGACGGGUGAGUAAUGUCUGGGAAACUGCCUGAUGGAGGGGGAUAACUACUGGAAACGGUAGCUAAUACCGCAUAACGUCGCAAGACCAAAGAGGGGGACCUUCGGGCCUCUUGCCAUCGGAUGUGCCCAGAUGGGAUUAGCUAGUAGGUGGGGUAACGGCUCACCUAGGCGACGAUCCCUAGCUGGUCUGAGAGGAUGACCAGCCACACUGGAACUGAGACACGGUCCAGACUCCUACGGGAGGCAGCAGUGGGGAAUAUUGCACAAUGGGCGCAAGCCUGAUGCAGCCAUGCUGCGUGUAUGAAGAAGGCCUUCGGGUUGUAAAGUACUUUCAGCGAGGAGGAAGGUGUUGUGGUUAAUAACCACAGCAAUUGACGUUACUCGCAGAAGAAGCACCGGCUAACUCCGUGCCAGCAGCCGCCGUAACAC
rnacentral:rRNA from 1 species